GACGAACGCUGGCGGCGUGCUUAACACAUGCAAGUCGAACGGAAGGCCCCUUUGGGGGUACUCGAGUGGCGAACGGGUGAGGAACACGUGAGUAACCUGCCCUUGACUUCGGGAUAACUUCAGGAAACUGGGGCUAAUACCGGAUAGGAAUCCUUGCUGCAUGGUGGGGGUUGGAAAGCUUCGGCGGUUUUGGAUGGACUCGCGGCUUAUCAGCUGGUUGGUGGGGUAGUGGCUUACCAAGGCUUUGACGGGUAGCCGGCCUGGGAGGGCGACCGGCCACCUUGGGACUGAGAUACGGCCCAGACUCCUACGGGAGGCAGCAGUGGGGAAUCUUGCACAAUGGGCGGAAGCCUGAUGCAGCAACGCCGCGUGCGGGAUGACGGCCUUGGGGUUGUAAACCGCUUUCAGCAGGGGCGAAGCUUGUGGUGACGGUACCUGCAGAAGAAGCACCGGCUAACUACGUG
rnacentral:rRNA from 1 species